AUCCGUGAAGCAGUCGGAACCCGUGACGUGUGUUGGCCAAGGCACGAAACUUGACGCCGUUCUCUUACCAAUGAAAAAGUCUUGCUUAUAAGGUCCAACUCGACAGCAACAAGAUGUGGUUGCAUGCAGUACCUGUUUUCCUCUUAUUGGCUAACGCGCUCGCGGCACCCAGCCGUCCCAGAGGAAUCCCAAAUGCAGAGGCGGAACUGCAUCUCCCAGCGGAGCGAGAGGACUCCAGCGGAGGCGGCAUCUUGCAGUCCAUCCUGCAGACCUUGAAUCCUUUCUACAGUCGGAAGAGCAGGGAUUUAGGUAUGCAUUAGGGUUACUGGGGGAGGA